CCACAAGUCCUGGGGGAGGUCUAUUCUAUGAAAGCCCAGAGCCUCAACCUAUGUGUAGCAGCCUGGGUCAUCUUGGGCUCUUUGGUGCCGGUCGAUCUCCCCGCUGUCUCUGGACUGUCUGUCAGCCGUUGUGGACACCCCUCUUCUCUCAUGGACCCGUAGUAAGCCAUAGGACAAAGGCUGAGGGGUUGGCAUGGGCAUUGCCCAGGUACAGGGGCUCCUGGAAUGUUCCUCCCUGGAGACCUGAGAUCCCCCAAAAUAGCAGCAGUUCAUCAGGGGGUAGAUUUUCCCCUCCUGGGAAACAGAUGGAAUUGAAAGACUGGGAAUUCACUGUUGUCCUGAAGCAACAUCCACUGGGUCCAUGAGUUCUCUUGUUGAAGACACGACCUGUCCUAACUACUGAAUGAGACCAGGUAGUAUCUGCA